rnacentral:rRNA from 1 species
AGAGUUUGAUCCUGGCUCAGGACGAACGCUGGCGGCGUGCCUAAUACAUGCAAGUCGAACGAAGCUUUCUUUCACCGAAUGCUUGCAUUCACCGAAAGAAGCUUAGUGGCGAACGGGUGAGUAACACGUAGGCAACCUGCCCAAAAGAGGGGGAUAACACUUGGAAACAGGUGCUAAUACCGCAUAACCAUGAACACCGCAUGAUGUUCAUGUAAAAGACGGCUUUUACUGUCACUUUUGGAUGGGCCUGCGGCGUAUUAACUUGUUGGUGGGGUAACGGCCUACCAAGGUGAUGAUACGUAGCCGAACUGAGAGGUUGAUCGGCCACAUUGGGACUGAGACACGGCCCAAACUCCUACGGGAGGCAGCAGUAGGGAAUCUUCCACAAUGGACGAAAGUCUGAUGGAGCAACGCCGCGUGAAUGAAGAAGGCCUUCGGGCCGUAAAAUUCUGUUGUCAGAGAAGAACGUGCGUGAGAGUAACUGUUCACGUAUUGACGGUAUCUGACCAGAAAGCCACGGCUAACUACGUGCCAGCAGCCGCGGUAAUACGUAGGUGGCGAGCGUUGUCCGGAUUUAUUGGGCGUAAAGGGAACGCAGGCGGUCUUUUAAGUCUGAUGUGAAAGCCUUCGGCUUAACCGAAGUAGUGCAUUGGAAUCUGGAAGACUUGAGUGCAGAAGAGGAGAGUGGAACUCCAUGUGUAGCGGUGAAAUGCGUAGAUAUAUGGAAGAACACCAGUGGCGAAAGCGGCUCUCUGGUCUGUAACUGACGCUGAGGUUCGAAAGCGUGGGUAGCAAACAGGAUUAGAUACCCUGGUAGUCCACGCCGUAAACGAUGAGUGCUAAGUGUUGGAGGGUUUCCGCCCUUCAGUGCUGCAGCUAACGCAUUAAGCACUCCGCCUGGGGAGUACGGUCGCAAGACUGAAACUCAAAGGAAUUGACGGGGGCCCGCACAAGCGGUGGAGCAUGUGGUUUAAUUCGAAGCAACGCGAAGAACCUUACCAGGUCUUGACAUCUUCUGACAAUUCCAGAGAUGGAACGUUCCCUUCGGGGACAGAAUGACAGGUGGUGCAUGGUUGUCGUCAGCUCGUGUCGUGAGAUGUUGGGUUAAGUCCCGCAACGAGCGCAACCCUUAUUGUCAGUUGCCAUCAUUAAGUUGGGCACUCUGGCGAGACUGCCGGUGACAAACCGGAGGAAGGUGGGGAUGACGUCAAAUCAUCAUGCCCCUUAUGACCUGGGCUACACACGUGCUACAAUGGACGGUACAACGAGUCGCUAACUCGCGAGGGCAAGCUAAUCUCUUAAAGCCGUUCUCAGUUCGGAUUGCAGGCUGCAACUCGCCUGCAUGAAGUCGGAAUCGCUAGUAAUCGCGAAUCAGCAUGUCGCGGUGAAUACGUUCCCGGGCCUUGUACACACCGCCCGUCACACCAUGAGAGUUUGUCACACCCAAAGUCGGUGGGGUAACCUUUUGGAGCCAGCCGCCUAAGGUGGGACAGAUGAUUGGGGUGAAGUCGGAACAAGGUA